rnacentral:rRNA from 1 species
UCCUACGGGAGGCAGCAGUAGGGAAUCUUCGGCAAUGGACGAAAGUCUGACCGAGCAACGCCGCGUGAGUGAAGAAGGUUUUCGGAUCGUAAAACUCUGUUGUUAGAGAAGAACGUUGUGUAGAGUGGAAAAUUACACAAGUGACGGUAUCUAACCAGAAAGGGACGGCUAACUACGUGCCAGCAGCCGCGGUAAUACGUAGGUCCCGAGCGUUGUCCGGAUUUAUUGGGCGUAAAGCGAGCGCAGGUGGUUUAAUAAGUCUGAUGUAAAAGGCAGUGGCUCAACCAUUGUGUGCAUUGGAAACUGUUAGACUUGAGUGCAGUAGAGGAGAGUGGAAUUCCAUGUGUAGCGGUGAAAUGCGUAGAUAUAUGGAGGAACACCGGUGGCGAAGGCGACUUUCUGGUCUGUAACUGACACUGAGGCGCGAAAGCGUGGGGAGCAAACAGGAUUAGAUACCCUGGUAGUCCACGCCGUAAACGAUGAGUGCUAAGUGUUAGAGGGUUUCCGCCCUUUAGUGCUGAAGUUAACGCAUUAAGCACUCCGCCUGGGGAGUACGGCCGCAAGGCUGAAACUCAAAGGAAUU